UACGGAAGGCAGCAGUGGGGAAUAUUGCACAAUGGGCGCAAGCCUGAUGCAGCCAUGCCGCGUGUAUGAAGAAGGCCUUCGGGUUGUAAAGUACUUUCAGUCGUGAGGAAGGUGUUAAGGUUAAUAACCUUAGCAAUUGACGUUAGCGACAGAAGAAGCACCGGCUAACUCCGUGCCAGCAGCCGCGGUAAUACGGAGGGUGCGAGCGUUAAUCGGAAUUACUGGGCGUAAAGGGCAUGCAGGCGGUUAAUUAAGUUGGAUGUGAAAUCCCCGGGCUUAACCUGGGAAUGGCAUUCAAGACUGGUUAGCUAGAGUCUUGUAGAGGGGGUAGAAUUCCAUGUGUAGCGGUGAAAUGCGUAGAGAUGUGGAGGAAUACCGGGUGGCGAAGGCGGCCCCUGGGACAAAGACUGACGCUCAUGUGCGAAAGCGUGGGGAGCAAACAGGAUUAGAUACC
rnacentral:rRNA from 1 species